UCUUUUCUGCUACAGCGUAUUUUCAUCUCCCGAGAAAUCUUCAAAAUCUGCCCAAAAUCUUUUUAGUUCCUACCGAGCCUUAUCUCUGCAACCUCUUCACUCUUUUUUUUUAAAACUCUCCCAAACCCAUCAGAACCUUCUCUGUCAUUUUCCAUCUCUGAAACUCUGUCAUUUUCUAUCUCUGAAUCUGCAAGAAUAUUUCUACCUCAAGAGUUCAUGACACUUAUCAAGGCAAGCAGAUACUACUGCACAUUCAUCAAACAUUCACCAAAAUCCAACUGAACAAGGUUCGAUCUUCUCCCUUCAACUUUAUACCACAGCAUGUGUUCCUCUACAUCAAAUAUAGAACUAGAUUUACAGUCUCACUCAUUGACAUGAACUUGAACAGCAUGCUUUUCAUUCAUAACUUGUAAGGAUUUUUAGUAAAACACAAUCUCUGCUACAAUAAGACUAAUAAAAUCUGUACAAUAAGAAAAUAGCUAGAUCAAGAACAAUCUGUACCAACAAACACCAAGACUCGACCUUCUUUUCCCCUUCCUUCCUCGAGAACCAAUUCCCACCAUUAUACAAGAACUUACCUUACUUCUCAUCUGCAAGAUUCAUUUUUUCUCAAGAACAAAUCUUCCUGUCACAUUCUUCCUUCGUUGUUGGGAUGGGUUGGAGCGCGAGAGUGUGAGAAGGGGAUUCCCGUUCCUUUCUUUUGGUGGUUGCAUAAGCACCGCCCUGUCGGAGAGGGCGGCGGCGCGGCGGCUCCCUUCUGGGCCUGCUGCUGCCGGAUUCGCGUGAGGAAAAGAGGGAGAAGGCGAACGGCGGCUGGGCAAGGUGACGCCGAAGAAGGCGGCGCGGCCGGCCAUGGUCUGAAUCGGAGCUCGGCAGCGGCGGUGGCAGCCUGGCAGCGGCCGACCACCAAAGCCAGAGGGAGAGAGGAAACAGAAGGACGGGGCCCUGAGAGGAGACGCCGGAGGCUGGCGGUGGCGCGGCCGGAGGCCAGGCGCGCUGCCCGCUGCGUAAACGGCAGCAGCGGCGGCGGUCUUCCUCGGCCGUCCGCCGCAGAGGACGCAACGGAGGAGACGGCGAUGAGCGAGGGAGGCCUCGGAGCCGGCGAUCCUCGCCGGGGAUGGAACGGGCGGUGGUUCAGGGAGAAGAGAGAGAGGACGGUGAGGAAGAGAGGGAGGGCCGAUCGAUGGAGUGAGGAGAGAGUAGAGACCCAUUUGUUUUAAUUUCUUUUGACUUUCUUUAGGGCUUUCUUAGCAUUAAUUUGGGCUUAAGUUGUUUUGGGCUCCUCUUUUUUUUUUUUUUUUUCCUAUGGGCCGAUUUUUAUUGAGCUGAUGGGCUGAUUUUAUUAAUUUUCAUGGGUUCUACAUUCUUAAUAUAAUACUUGGGCUGCAUUAUUAAUAACAAGUCUUCAAAUUAUUUUCUUUGGGCUUUAAAUAUUACUUUGGACCUGUAAAUGUUUUAAUAAAAAUAUUAAUUUUUCUUCCAAUAAUAAGAUUCUAUAUUUUCUUUAAAUGAUUAAUAAUUUUUAGAUUUAGUGUUAAUUAUAUUUGUUAAAAUUACUAAUUAUGUAUUAAAAGUUUAUGGAUUCACAGAGAUUAUUAAUUCGGGCAAAGUGUAUCAAUAGUUAGUGAUUUUCCCCUCUUUAUUUAGAAGUUAGAAUAGCACCAAGAGACCUAUUAAGAAUAGAUUUCUUGUAGGCCUUGAGGACCAGGAGGAUUAGCACUGCUUUCCCGUGACAGGUUUACGAUUAAACUACAGGCUUUGCCUAUUCAGGUGGGUUUUAUUUUACAUACAAUGUAUCUUGAGUUAUAUAAGCUCUGAUAUUUCAUGAAAAUUAUCUGUUUAUCCAAUAUAAAUAUUUUUUAUGUGCGUUCUGUAAUUGUUUAAGGCUCACUUAAGCAUCGAUCGAGAUUCUCAUUUGGCCUAACACGCUAAAUGAGGAUUGUGUACACAAGGUUAGUGGCUCGAUGGGUUGAUCGCCAUCGUGCACUAACAGAUUAGAACGUUAUAAGGGUGGGUGCUUGACAGGAGGUUAUCCGGAGCACGGUGCUUGACAGGAGGUUAUCCGGAGCACAGUUAAGACUAUUGAUUCUGACCGGGUGUGUCCCGAGAUCAAUAACAGAAUUUUGGAUCUGACUGGGCGUGUCCCGGGAUCAGUGAAUGUGGGGAGAAAGUGAGUAACAAUCGAACGUACAUGGCGCGCCACUUAAUGAGGAAAAGUUUUGUCAUGCUUAGAAGUGGAUUUCUGUUUUUAAACCUUCUGAGUUAUGAUUUUGAUAUUGGAUAAACUGUUUCGAUUAUUUCUUAAAAUAUUUCAAAAACUCGUGCCCACUGAGUACAUUAGUACUCAGCCCAAAUUAUUUUCAAAUAUUUUCAGGUUGAUCGGCUGGUGCAGACGGGGCUGAGCUGAGGCUGGGUACCACAAUGUCUUUUGCUUCCGCUAACGACUAGCUUGUCAUUUCGUCUGUUAAAUUCUCUAAACUUAGAAUUUCAAUUAUGUGGUACAAUAUUAUCUUAUUGGGCUUAAACUCUUAUCCUAUAUUUCUAUUAAUAAAGCUAUCUUUGAUUAUGAUCAGAGUCACGAAACUAAACUUAUGCGAUCCUGAGUUGGAAUAUUGUCAUUUGAUUGGCAACUCUUAAGGCCUUUCAAUUUACCUAAUUUCAUUUUAUCUCAUUGGAAUAUGAAUACCCAAUUUAACGGGUAGAUUGUCGAGUUUAUUCCGGUUGAUUAAGACUUUCCA
rnacentral:lncRNA from 1 species